ensembl:lncRNA
CGUCUUCGUCUAUUAUUAGAGUUAUUCGUUAUUCUAUUAGGGCCUCACUUUAAAGCUGUCUGCCACUCCAAUAUGACUAAUCUUCCACCUAUUUUUUUUUCUCUAAUGAGCAGCUUUGGAGAAGCAGCAAAGUGGUGAGAGUCGCUGUUCGUAGUAGUGGCCUUGUUUUAGUGUCCUAACGUGUGAGAGAGACAUCCACCAUGUGGGCUGGGUAGCAGGUGAUACACGCUCCAGUAAAUAAAUACACACUGGAGAGGAAUGUGGAAACUCUUCCAGGGUUUAUUUAAUACCGUACAAAGACACAAGGUUGUUACUUUUCCAGUAAAACUAGAGAAACUAGCUCCGAUCCUUCAGAGAAGAAAAAGGGGCCUUGAGUGGUUUAGAAAAUAAAGGCGAGAAGGGAGGGCUCGAAAUAACCUUCAUCACCCUCAGAUGCCGCAUCUCAACUGCACGAGUUGGGGUCCAGUUUCACCUGAACGUCGCCUUCCACGCAAAUCCCAUUUCCGUGUGCUUCGGGGCUCUAAUUAGAGGGAAAAAGGGCAAAUCAGAGAUAAGAGCAAGGCCGGUUUCAGAUAAGCUUUGAGUGAGAAGGGAGCAGCAGUGAAGCGGAGAGCUCAUGUCAUCUCCCAGUGGGGGUCAAGAAUGCAGGCCCAGCGCAUGCAGGAUGGGUGGGCCCAGAAGGAAUGCCAGAUUUUAAAUAGCAGAAGGAGCGAAUGUACAGGACGGGCUGCCAUGGGGGAGAGCACAAGCAGCUCACAGAGCAGGAUUUUAGGUGGGUUUUUGUUGCUGUUGUUUUUAAACAAGUUCCAAAAGGCAGGUAAAGCACUCUGUGUAAAAUGCAGGGGGAACAGAUUCGUGCGGACUUCUUACCUCUCUCGCUAGAUGGGCUGCCCCCCAGAGCAUGCUGCUGUGUGAUUAGUUCUUGAAUUAAUUAGAAAAAUAACAGCGGCCCGAUCUCCCAGUGGUCAGUGCUCUGAAGCUCAUUAGCACCAGCACACAGCCCAUUAGCAGAGGGCUUGCACCAUCCAGCCCUCGGAAGGGCUUGCUGGGGAGCAGGAUGGGAUGUGGCAGCCUCCGAAAGGACCUGCAGGCAGCCCAGCUGACAGCGUGCCAUGCAGGAGGGACCUGGGACACCAUCGAGGCCUAUGGACAAUACCAACCAUUUCCCCAUGCUUCUUCUUUCAAUCACACUGGAGAGUGCCGGCGUCGCUUUGAACUGCAUGGUGCUGGUAGUCUUGGGAUAUGCUGUUUCCCAGGGGCCAACAAGAGGGAACUUGCAAAUUGCUGAUAGCCAGGCAAAAAAAAAAAAAGAAAGACUGUGCAGUAACAUUUGGCUUCGCAGCUGAUUUUCUUAAGAAGGUGGUUUGGGGUUGUAUUUUCCCCCAGAAUUUUCACACGUAACUACAUUAGUAUAAUCUGAGUCACGUCUGAGUGUUUACAAAGAAACAGAUCCCCAAGGAGUUUAUGGAUAUGUCAUCCCGGCGCUGAAUCUCAGGGAAUGAUCCUUCCAGACCAUAAUGAGAUAUUGUGUCUGCUCCUGGAGACGAAGCCUGCCUUUGGACUCCUGUCCAACAUUUCCAGAGACGUGAAUAAGAGUCAUGUGUGCAUAACCCUUCUGCCAGGGCUGCAUGGGCCGCAGUGAAGGCUGGGUCCGAGCAUGAGGGCACUCUGAGCUCACACCUGGGAAGUAGGCUCAGCUGCCUGAUGGUCGGACAUCCCUGCACUUUCUCCAACAGGAAUCAGAUGGGCAACACAAAAUAUGCUUACUAAAGGAAGAAAAGUGGAACGAGUUAGCGAUCGGAUCACACCUCAUACUGGGAUGGCUCAUAGACCAUUUCUUUCUCUUGAUGUUCCUGCUGGGCCUGUUAGUCAUACAAACACCUGCUGGUUGUGGGACCAGGCUGAACUGUCAGUUCCAACACCACCUCAUGGAAAGCUUUCCCACGAAUGGAGCGUUUGCUGUGGGUGCCAUGGGAAACGAGUCCCACAUCCAUGGACUGGCCCUGAACGCAGGCGGAAUGAUAAAAACAUCUGCUCACUCAUGGCAAUCAAAGUAUGUGUUGUUCUCCAGAAGGAGCAUUUCACUUCUGAAUGUUGAUACCUGCUGUCUUUCAUUUUCAUCUGAUGUCACUCUGCUCUGGUGUUAAACAAAAGCAAACAGCGAGUUCAGCUGAAAUUCUCUGUAUUACUCCAGCUGACAUGUUUUGUACUAUCUCGAGUCAUUCUGUCAGGUUCCUUCAUACCUACCGUCACUCCCACAGGAGUCUUUUUGCCUUUCAGUCUGUCUGUGCCUCACACCCUUUUAUUGCUCUUCCUAUAACCUUGCCAACCUUUUUGGCCUCAUCUCUGACAUAUCUCACAGGUUUUUCGAGUUUCAAUUAACAUGGGCAAAUCACCUGGUUUGUCCUCUUCUUUACUGCACCAGGCAGCAUUUCCCAAGCCUGCCUUCAUUUGUGGAAAUAACCAAAGAGCCAUCCAUUUCUUCAAACUGUCCUUUAAAAGUCUUCUACAGUGCAGUGGCUAUGAAAAUUACAAUAGAACUCUGCCUUGUGCUGCCUGUUGGGCCGACCAGAAUCUUCCUCCACUCUGCCCCCCGGUACAUCUGCAGCCAUUCUCUCUUUGCGUCAUUCAAAGUGCACUCUUGAGUUUCACAUUCAUAAGCAGUUUUCAUCUAGGGCAGAAUUUUACCCACAUGCCUACUCAGUUUUCUGAGGGACACUUUUUAAAUGCUGCUGAAAAUGUAGACACAUUUUGAAUUGCUUCUGCUGCUUACUCUGGGUGGUGUACAGGGUGAUGGGAGAGGCAGCAUCUGUCCCUGCAGAGGCCAUGCUGCUGUCCUGCUGUAUUCACCGAGUUGCACUAAAGCAGCAUUUCGGUUAUCAGUUCAUCCAGAGCUUCCUGUUCCUAAUUCAAGACUUCCCGGCCCUCAGCUUUUAUUUUAAAGAUUGCUACAACCACUGUGCUUUGGAGGGUCUUAGCAGUUCAGAGAAAAAAAAUAUCCCAAAUUCCUUUAGGACUUGAGGGGGAUGUUUUUGCUGGCAACUCGGUCCCACACUGGCUCCAGCAAUUGCUUGUUUGAUACACAGUGCAGGAAGGAGGAAAGAAAUGGGGGUUGUGGGUAACAAGACUCUGAAGCUUUCAGGCUGGAAAACAACAUCCGAAGUUCAGCCUCCAAGGGCAUUCCCAGGGAGCAUGGAGUUGUGAUGGAAGCACUCCUGGAGGCAGAGGCAGCUGCUCAGAGGGCUGCUGAAGAAGCAGCACCUUCUGGUGAUCAGAGCACCUGGCUCCAUCUGAGCCCUGCAAGGACCUCAGCCAAUAGAGAUGACAAAAUGACCACAAAGUGCCACCAGGCUUUGCUGGAAUCCUCUGCCAUGGUUAGUAACAAACCCUUACCAAUUCAUAGAAUCAAAGAAUCAUUAAGGUUGGAAAAGACCACUAAGAUCAUCUAGCCCAGCCAUCAGCCCAUCCCCACCAUGCCCACUAACCACGUCCCUCAGUGCCUCUCCUACACAGUUCUCAAACACCUCCAGUGAUGGUGACUCCACCACCUCCCCGUGCACCCUGUGCCAGUGCAGCACCACUCUCUCUAAGAAUAAAUUUUUACUAAUAUCCAACCUGAGAUUCCUCUUCUGUUGCUUCCUUCUGCUUACUAUCUUUAUCAGUUUCUCUCGAAAAAAAACAUGCAUUGUGAUUUCUCAUUGGAUGCACACAAAGAAUACAGUUUCGGGGAGAGGGAGAAGCUACUCAGUGGUUGAUGGUUGUAUGCACAGGGACUAUGUACACAGUCACAAAGCAGC